GCUGUGUUUACCAGAAUUCACUAGGUUGCUGUUAACUUUUGAGCCUUGUAUGUCUCCUGGAAUUUGAUUAAUUGUACUCCAACACCCAAUAUAUUUCUAUUGACAUUGUUUGAAGUACAUCAGCCACUAAAAAAGGCCUCUCUUUUGUGCACUGCAACAUCCGUAGCUUGCUCCCUAAACUGGAUGCACUGCAAGCCUGGUGUUCCC